rnacentral:rRNA from 1 species
GUAGUGGCGAACGAAAAGGGAGAAGCCCAGCGCAUAACCUCUCGGGCCACCAGGCCUGCAGCGGAAUUUUGCGUAAAGGGAAUGAUCACGCACACGCUCGCAAGGGUGUGUGUGCCCAAUGUCACAUAGCAUUCGACCUAAGUCCAGUGGUGAAACUCUGCCGAACCUUUGUUGGUUCUACAUCUCCAUGGAGGGUGAAAGACCCGUGUGGCGAAUGCACAGUGUCUGGGUUUGAUUGUUUCCCUGAGAGUCGCGUUGCUUGAGCAUGCAGCGCUAAGCAGGACGUAGACUCGUCCUAAGGCUAAAUAUUUCCACAGAACCGAUAGCGAACAAGUACCGUGAGGGAAAGUUGAAAAGAACUCUGAAGAGAGAGUUAAAAGACCGUGAAACCGUUCAGGGUAGAGACUGAUGGAUUUGGCUUUCCGGUGACGGCAAAGAGAUGAAUAAAGACGCUGCCAUGAGUAGCCGUCUCCAGUGUGUGCAGGAGAUAAAUGGAAGACAGUGGGUCUGUGGUCAGUGAAACGGACGUUUAACAUAGCGUGUGACUGUUGUAACACACUCAUGGGCCUAACGGACGGGGUAAUGGCGUCGAUGAUGAGUGAGAACCUGUAUUGCCUCGCACUGCAGUCUAUUGCUUUGAUGGCGGCCUUGAGUUCGCACCCACUCUGAGAUCUCCUGCACCGUAGCCAUCGGAAUGCACCAACACUUUACGAGGUCAGGGUGCCGUUGCAUUCAUUUGCAAUGCUGUUCACGAGUUGCAUGUCCCGAGUUUUAACGCAGUGAGGCGUGUGUGUGUUUGCGCGCGCGCACGCCCAUCAUGUCGAUACAUAUGUGUUUGUGUGAAGGAGUUCUGUUGCUUCCUCACCCAGCUGACAGAUUCUCCGCAGAACUUGCGUGUGAACUUUCUGGGCCACCGGUGAUGCGAUGCAUCUCCCCGUUGUGUGCGUCAUACACCCGAGGCUGCACUAGCACUGCAACGUCUCGAGGCGACACAAUCACGGAGGUGUGUUUUAGCUGCCGAUGCUUGCUUGGUCUGUUCGCGAAGCACCCUGUUCUUCACGCUUGCGCGCUGUCGAUGUAUUCAUUGCUGGGGCAUGUGUCAGUCUCGUGGCGCACUUUUCUGAAACGUGUGAUCCUCAUGUGAAGGUUGUGAUCUGAGCGAGUUCAUGAGACGCGCGCCGUGUCAUGCGGCGUGCCAGUGUCUGUUCGCUGGUGCAUAGUAUUAGCUUGAAUCCAUCAGUCACGUCUCGAAACACGGGCCAAGGAGCAUAGCAUGUGCGCAAGUCUAAGGGUCAUACAAAACCUGCAGGCGAAGUGAAAGCGAUUUUGGUGUGUGAUCUCGGGCGUUUGUGGACGUGCCUGUGGCUGCUUUUCUCCAAUGAGUUAAAAUCCUAUGGCAUGCUCUCGUGCGUUCGUGUUCUAUCACAGCCUGGGUGAGAUUUGAAAUGUCAUAUCCUUUUGAACUGGCUUCUCUCUGCUGAGGGUUGCUGGCGAAAAUUGGUUCUAUGGAUGACUUCUCACCGCUUAAACAGAGUUGAUCCUGGAUCACGUUCCGUAAUGUGUGCAGUGCGAAAGCACUGCCCGCGUGUGAAAGGCGCAAACUCCACGCUAUCCAAAGUAAUGUGCCAUUGCCCUCGUGGCUUUGGUGCGUGUGUGAUAGCAGUGUGGAGCGUGCAUGCUAUUACCCGAAAGAUAGUGAACUAUGCUUGGCGAGGGUGAAGCCCCAGGAAACUGGGGUGAAG